AAUAUUAAUAAGUACAGAUUCUGGCCUGAUAUUACUCCGAUAUUACUCUGGGACACUCGAAAACGCAGGAAAAAAAUUGAAAAAGAUAUUAAGUGUGAAAUCACAAUGUACUAUUAAUCUUGAUAUUACAAAACAAAGAGGAAAUAUUAAUAAGUACAGAUUCUGGCCAUGAUAUUACUCCGAUAUUACUCUGGGACAUUCGAAAACGCAGGAAAAAAUGGAAAAGAAUGUUAUUAAGUAUGAAUUCUCAAUGUAAUAUUACUCUGAUAUUACAAAACAAAGAGGAAAUAUCAUUAAGUACAGAUUCUGGCCAUGAUAUUACUCCGAUAUUACUCCGAGACAUUUGAAAACGCAGGAAAAAAAUUGAAAUGGAUAUUGUUAAGUGCGAAUUCUCAAUGUAAUAUUACUCUGAUAUUACAAAACUAAGAAAAAUAUUACCAUUAGACUAUUUAGAAAGACCAUCGUGAUAUUACUUUCGCGACAUUCCAAAGCGCAGGAAAAAAAUAGAAAAUGAUAUUGCUAAGUGCGGAUUCUCGACGAAAUAUUACUUUCCGAUAUUACCGAAAAAAAAAGAGGAAAAAAACAGGAACAAGAAACUCGCUGCUAAAACAAACAAACAAACAGACAAACAUAGCCAGAGAGAGAGAGAGAGAGAGAGAGAGAGAGAGAGAGAGAGAGAGAGAGAGAGAGAGAGCAAUACCAUAUGAGGAAACACACACAAGGAAAGAAGGAAAAUAACACUAAUAAUAAUGAUAAUAAUAAUGAUAGCAGUAAUAAAAGUCACAAUCGCGCAGAGAAAUAUAAUGUAGGGAGAGCCUCGUUAAGUACAUAAGUAAGUUAGGACAUCACUCUAGGCACGGCAUUACAAAAAUAAACAAGAUAUCGUAAAGAACGCUGCCAGCCAUGGGGUCCGACGCAGGGCCGAGACUUUAGCGGAACCAGAUUGCCGAGGCUGUCUUGGGGGUGGUUUGCAUGGGUCCUGUGUCUCCAUCUCUCUCUUCCUCCUCCCUUCCCUCUCCUUUCUUCCUCUCUUGCAAGGGUUAAGGAAGGAAAGGAGAAGGAAGGGGAGGGAAGGCCUCAACAAUUUUCUAUUCCUCCUCCACUCCUCUCCUUCCUCCCUUUCUCUCUCUCCUUCCUUCCUCUCUUGCAAGGGUUAAGGAAAGGGGAAGGAAGAGAAGGGAAGGAGGAAUGGCCCAACACCUUCCUCUUCCUCCUUUCCUUCCCUUCUCCCUCCUUCCUUUCUCUUUUCCAAGGGUUAAGGAAGGAUGGGGGAAGGAAGAGAAGGGAAGGAGGAAUACCCCAACGCCUUCCUCUUCCUUCUCCGCUCCUCUCCCUUCCUUCUCCUCCUUUCUCCUUCCUUCCUCUCUUCCAAGGGUUAAGGAAGGAAGGAAGGUGAAGGAAAGGGUAAGGAUGAGGUAGGUAUUAGGACAGUGUGGCAGAGAGGCGAAACAAAAUGUGACGCCCAGGCUUGCACCUCUAGAUGGCCUCGGCAAUCCGCUUCCACUCCAGCGCCGGCCCCCCUCGGACGACCACAGCAAUAUCAUAGUAGUCUAGGGUAUAAGGUAUAAGGUAUUAAGUAUAGGUAUCAGUAUAUAUUAACGAACGAGAGCGGGGCGAAACACACUUUUAUUUAUUUAUGUUUUUUUUUUUUUUUUAACUGAUGUUGUUGUUGUCAUUGGGCAUCAUCGCCGAUACUUCUACUACGAGGCUACUGAUAUGUACUAAAAGAACAUCACUUGUUGAGCUCGUAAACACUAUGCUUCUCAAAAUGGACGGAGAUUAGCCCGGCCGUGGGGUCAAGCGCGACCUGAGGAUUAGCAUGGGGUCGGGCCGUCGAGGUCACACGCAUUUUCUGAGGUCACACUAUAGGGGUCAGGGGUCAUGAUGGGAGGGGCGGGGGAGGGUCAGGGUGUUCUAGGCAGCGGUUGUGGUGUCAGGAGCGUGUCAGGACGUGUUGGGGUAGGCGGGUGAAAGGGUAGAGCUUUUAAAUCACAGGAUAAUCUGAGCACAGAAGUUAAGGCUGCCUUGUUUGUUUGUUCGUUUGUUUGUUUGUGUGUGUGUACGUUUGUGUGUGUAUGUGGGGGAGGACGCGUGCGUAAGUGUGUGUACGUGUGUGUGUGUGUGUGUGUGUGUGUGUGUGUGUGUGUGUGUGUGUGUAUUUACUUUAUUAUAUUUUUUGUAAGAUUUUCAUGUAACUUUUUUUUUUUUUAGAUUUUUUAUAAGUAUUUUUUAUCAUUAUUUUUGUUUUUUUCUCUAUUAUUAUUAUUAUUAUUAUUAUUAUUAUUAUUAUUAUUAUUAUUAUUUUUUAAGUCUCUGUAUAUCUCUAUUUAUUCAUUAUUUAUUUAUGUACAGCAAGUGUGUGUGUGUGUGUCUCCUCUCUCUCUCUCUCUUGGGCUGCACACGCCCCGCCGUCCAGUUGUCUGUAUCUAACAUAAUCUAAGUCCAUCACCUUCAUUUCCUGACUGACUGAAAGACACUCUCUUAAACAGUUCAGACAUCUUUUUAAUUUAACUGACUGACUGACUCUUUGAACUGUGUAUAAUCUUCCAUUACUGACUGACUGUUGAACAGUUUAUAAUCUUUAUUUGCUGAGUGACUGACUGCCACUCCACCAGUCCACGCAGUCUCUCCAUCCCCAGCAGUCCGUUCCCUGCCUGGACUGCCUCCUUCCUUCCUUCCUUCCUGCCUGUCUCUCCAUGCUUCUCCAUCCUCAGGUCGGACUUGAGGUCACCGCUGGCCGGGGGGUCAACCACAGGGGUCAGGCAGCGGCGGUGGUGGCAGUGACACUAUCCAGGGGUCAGAGGUCACUGGCACUCUUAGGUCAGUACUAGGUCACUGGCACUCUCUUAGGUCAGUGCCAGGCCAGUGGCACUUCAUAAGGUCAGUGCCAGGCCAGUGGCACUCUUACAUUAGUAACCUGACCUUAGGUCAGUGCCAGGUCAGUGCCCCUCCCUCAGGUCAGUGCCACUGCCGCCACAGCCGCCGCCUCUACACAGGGCGGCGGAGUGACCUGACCAUGCUGGGGCCGGCAAAGGUAACACACACACAUACAUACACACGUAGGUACAUGGAUAUACGUGUUCCCUUCACCUCCACACCUGGAGGCCGAGGGAAGGCGAGGCUUGGCCAGGGCUGGGUCAAGUUUGACAGCUUGACCUGCCAGCCUGGGUUCUGGGAGGCUGGUUGGUUAAUUUAACAAGAUUCUGGGCAUUCUGAGGCUUAUUUGACAACUGAUGGCUUCUAGAUGCUGUAAUAAGCUGAACUUUGAUGCGAGGCUUAAUUUGACUGCUUGAGAUCUAUCACAAUAUUAUGCUUAGGAGCUUUACUAAGGCCUAAUAACAUGAAUAUAAGCCUAUAAACAGCUGGCACGGUGAUUUAAACCUGCACCAGCUGUUUCCUUCUCGUCCUCGCCAGCUGGUUCCUUCCCCCGGGCACUCCAUCCUAGGCCCAGCAGGUGUUAUAGGCCUACCGCCGCCGCUGCCGCCUAAUAACACUGAUCAGUACACGCUACAAUGUUAUGUGACAAAAAAACAUAUACAUCUUAGUAAUAGACCACACUCACCAACUCGGAGGGCAAGGAAUACGUGCUGCGGCUGCCCGGGACCUCGAAUUUGACAGCCUGGCGCGAAGGGUCUGUUUGGGACUGUUUUACGGGGUCACAAUUCAGUGCUUCCUAUUUUCAGUCCUUUUCAGUCUUUUUCAACUAGUAUAUGUAAAUUUUCAGGGUUUACAAGUACAGAUACAUUUUUUUUGUAUUUCCUGUGGUUCAGGUAAUGUUUUUUUGUUGUUAUUUUGAGUUUUUGAGAAGGGUCUGUUGAGGUACUCCGGGUCUUCUCAAGAGGGGAAGGGUCAGAAAUCAAUGUUGUAGUUUUUCUGCUUACAAAUGCAAAUACAUCCUCUAUUUUUGUAUUUCUGAAGUGUUAUUAGUGGUUUUAUUGUUUUUUUUUUUGUUAUUUUAUCUUUUUUUAACUCACUUUCCAUGUAUAUAAUUAUCAAAUGUUAUUGGUUAUUUCAUCAAUGUAUUUUCUGUCAUUUCCUUCGUUUUUUUUAGGAUUGGAAAUAGUGGAGGUCAGGUCAGGGGGUUAAACAAAUUCACACUGACCUAUUUUUUUCAUGUAGAGGUCAAACUCGUACCCUGACUGACCUAACGUGACCUCUUACAAGUGGGUGAAGGCUAUGUGUAUAAGUAUUGACCUCUCUUUUAUCCUUUCCCAAUCGAGGUCAGGUCACGAAACAAACACAACCCAAUACCAACUCAAUUAAACCACAUUUUGACCUCGAUAGAAUGCAUUUGACCCUUUCUGUGACCCUGAUCCAACUAUUUAACCUUGUAAGAAUGCGUUUGACCCUUUUCUGUGACCCAUAACGCACUUUCUGACCCUGUAUUAGCUCGUUUGACCCCUUUUUCGAGACCCUUCUUGUUCCGUACGCGUCCCGGACCAGCCCAGCACGCGUCCCCGGCCCUCGGAACACCUUUUUUCAACAUCAACAACUAAGAAUAUUGAACAUUGGAACGGAAUGGAGGCAAACACAUCAUGGACAAUUAAGUUUUUCUAAUGCUAAAGAACUUCCGCUAUGUACAGCAAGGGGGCGCCUGCUAGUAAGGAGCGGAGGAGGAGGAGGAGGAGGAGCAGAUGGAGGGGAAGUGGAGAGUGUGAGGGACUGAGGAAGGACACCUGUUACCUCCCUCACCCCCCUUUUUCUCUCCUCUCUUCGUCUUUCUCUCGUCUCUUAUUCUCUCCUUCUCCUCCUUUCUCUCUCUCUUGCUAAACUUGACCUUCUUCUUCGUCUCCUUCCUUCUGCUCCUUUCUUUCUCUCCUCUGCUAAACUUUCUUCGUCUUCUCCUUCCUUCUCCUCCUUUCUUUCUCUCCUCUUUGCUAAACUUCACUUUCUUCGUCUUCUUCCUCCUCCUCCUCCUCCUCCUCCUCCUCUUCGCGGCAGGCACCAGUCACUUCUCGUCAUGGUUUUAUUGCUAUCCGUAAACAAUAGCGUCAUGAGGGAGGGCUACUCAAGGAACCAAGGAGACCAAAUGCAAUUGACUUAGCCUUAUAUAGAGAGUUGAAAACCAUACUGGAACCCCUCCCCUAUCCCGAACAUUAGGUAAAGCGCACUCGCAUCCACUCAUUGCUUUACUUUCGUCUAUAUUUCCUUUCUUCAGCCUUAUAUAGAGAGUUGAAAACCAUACUGGAACCCCUCCCCUAUCCCGAACAUUAGGUAAAGCGCACUCGCAUCCACUCAUUGCUUUACUUUCGUCUAUAUUUCCCUUCUUCAGCCUUGUAUAGAGAGUUGAAAACCAUACUGGAACCCCUCCCCUAUCCCGAACAUUAGGUAAAGCGCACUAGCAUUCACUCAUUGCUUUACUUUCGUCUAUAUUUCCCUUCUUCAGCCUUGUAUAGAGAGUUGAAAACCAUACUUCUACCCCUCCCCUAUCCCGAACAUUAGGCAAAGCGCACUAGCAUUCACCCAUUGCUUUACUUUCGUCUAUAUUCCCUUCUUCAGCCUUAUAUAGAGUUGAAAACCAUACUGGAACCUCUUCUCAAUCCCUUCUAUUAGCUCGUUCGCUCUCUAAUUCUCUUUUCAUUAAUAUCUUCAGAUUUAUAGAGUUUGAAACCAUGUCUAGAACCACUCCUCUAUCCCUGACACUAACUCUAACGCUCUCUAAUUCUCCUUAUAUCACUUUCUUCAGCCUUAUAGAGUUUGAAACCAUGUAUAGAAUCCUUCCCCGAUACCUAACACUAACUAUAACACUCUCUGAUUCUCUCUUUUCAUCGCUUUCCUUUCGUCUGCAUCUUCUUUUCCAUUCUUCAUAUCCACUUCACAACUGACUUAGCCUUAUAGAGUUUGAAACCUUAUCUAGAAUCCCUCCGUCGUAUCUAACACUAGCUCUUUCGCUCUUUCUUUCUCUCCUUUCUUUCCCCUUACACAAUUCACUCCGCCUUAUAAAGAGUUUGAACCCAUGACUGGAAUCCCUCCCCUGUCCCGAACAUUAGCUAAAUCGCACUCUUUUUUCCUUCGUCUAUAUCACAUUCUUUCUCAUUGCACAAUUCACUCCGCCUUAUAUAGAGUUUGAACCCAUGACUGGAAUCCCUCCCCUGUCCCGAACAUUAGCUAAAUCGCACUCUUUUUUUCUUCUUUUCAUCGCUUUGCCUUCGUUUAUAUCACAUUCCUUCCCAUUGCACAAUUCACUCCGCCUUAUAAAGAGUUUGAACCCAUGACUGGAAUCCCUCCCCGUCCCGAACAUUAGCUAAAUCGCACUCUCUAUUUUUCUCUCUCAUUUCUUUGCCUUCGUCUAUAUCACAUUGCACUAUUCACUCAGCCUUAUAGAGUUUGAACCCAUGACUGGAAUCCCUCCCCGGUUCCAAACAUUAGGUAAAUCGCACUCUCUAUUUUUCUCUCUCAUUUCUUUGCCUUCGUCUAUAUCACAUUGCACUAUUGACUCAGCCUUAUAGAGUUUGAACCCAUGACUGGAAUCCCUCCCCGUCCCGAACAUUAGCUAAAUCGUACUCUCUUUUUCUUCUUUUCAUUACUUUCCCUUCGUCUAUAUCACAUUCCUUCCCAUUGCACAAUUCACUCCGCCUUAUAAAGAGUUUGAACCCAUGACUGGAAUCCCUCCCUGGUUCCGAACAUUACCUAAAUCGCACUCUCUAUUUUUCUCUCUCAUUUCUUUGCCUUCGUCUAUAUCACAUUGCACUAUUCACUCCGCCUUAUAGAGUUUGAACCCAUGACUGGAAUCCCUCCCUGGUUCCGAACAUUACGUAAAUCGCACUCUCUCUUUUUUUUUCUCUCUCUCAUUUCUUUGCUCUCGUCAACAACACACUCGUUUCUAAUUCACAACGGCGACCGACAGCAAAGUUUGUGUUUUGUUAAGUGAAGUCGAACGGACAAUAAUAAUAAUAAUAAUAGUAAUAAUAAUAGUAAUCAUAGCAACAUAUAUAAUAGUCGGCUUUGUCAGAACGAUUACAAAUAGGUCGAAAUCGUUAAAAAAAUAUCAUAAAGGGAGAGGGUGGGUGUAGCAACGCGUCACUUUGGGGUAACACAGGGGAACGUAAGAGGGGGUUAACUUGCACCAAUUAUAUAUAAAGAAUCAAAUUAUAUAUAUAUUACAAGAUAUGUUCACUUAUGAUAUGUCGUAGACGGGUCAGGAAGGGAAGGGAAGGGAAGGGAAGGGAAUGGGAGAGAAGGGAAGGGGAGGGGUAGAGAGAAAGGUAGGGAUGUGUGUGUGUGUGUGUGUGUGUGUGUGUGUGUGUGUGUGUGUGUGUGUAAUUGUGUGUAUGUAGGGCUAGGAAUACGUCGUUCUUACACGCACACACACACACACACACACACACACACACACACACACACACACACACACACACACACACACACUAUCCUCACAACCUGGUCAUUUUUCCUUCCAUUCUUCCUUCCUUCCUUCCAUUCAUAAACUUAACACAUAACUGACUGACUGACUGACCUUGCAACCCACACUCAUAACUCUUUGGUCAUCACUAGAUAAGGUCAUUCGAGGUCACGGGAGGUCACAUUUCAAAGGGGUAACUUAGCCAAAAUAAAAAAUAAAAAUAAAAAGGUAGUCGAAAUCUUUGGUACAUAAAUAAAGGAAAUGUCUUUUUUUUAUGUGACUAAGAACGAAUUCAUUUUAGGUUAGAUUUUUAGUUGAGUUAGUGUUAGAUUUCUUAAUAUCGAUGUUAGCGUUAGUAGAAAAUGGGAUGUAGCUUUCCAUGUUCUUAGAGUUACGUUAGUUAAAAAAAAUUGCGAUGUUUGUCUUUUGUUAACUGCAAUGGGAAGGGAAGGGAAGGGAAGGGAAGGGAAGGGUUCGUAAGGGUAGGGAAGGGAAGGAAAGAGUUGGGAAGGGAAGGGGAGGGAAAGAAAGGGAAGGGUAGGGUAGGGUAGGGUAGGGAAGGGAGGAGAAGGAAAGAGAAGGGAAGGGCAGGAAAGGGUUCGUAAGGGUAGGGAAGGGAAGGAAAGAGAAGGGAGGGGUAGGAAAGAGAAGGGAUUGGAAGGGAAGUGUUGGGAAGAGAUUGAAAGGAAAGGGAAAGGAAGAUAAGAGAAGAUAAGGUAAGGUAAGGGAAGGGAAGGGAAGGAAAGGGAAGGGUAGGGAAGGCAAUAAUAUUAACACAUAAUCUAGUCAUUUCUUGAGGUUUUGUUUCGUAAGCAAUUCUACGAUAACCUUAGCUACAACGUGUGUGUGUGUGUGUGUGUGUGUGUGUGUGUGUGUGUGUGUGUGUGUGUGUGUGUGUGUGUGUGUGUGUUAUAAGCCUUGAAUAUAACGCUGUGGUCUUUACGAAGCUAUUGAUAUAACGUAAGUGGUUUUUACGCCUAGAUUAUACGCAUAUCUUUGGAAUGUUUUAGAUAUUUGGUUCCUGACUGACUGACUGACUGACUGACUGACUGAUUUGGUGAUAGAAAGAUAAAUGACUAUGGAUUAUGUUAUUUUUGGAUAGUUUGUGAUUUUGACUGACUGACUGACUGACUGACUGACUGACUGACUGAUUUGGUGAUAGUAAUAUAUAUGGUAAUGGAUUGCGUUAGUUUUUGACAGUUAGUGAUUUUGACUGACUGACUGACUGACUGAUUUGGUCUUAGAAAUAUAUAUAGUUUUCUUUGCAUUUUCGAUAUUAUUAGUAAGUUGUGACUGACUGACUGACUGACUGACUAAUAUAGGUCAUAAAAAUAUAUAUAAUUCAUUCAUUUCGUUAUAUAAGUCAAAAUUACGUUAGUUUUUACGAUAAUGUUAGUUACGUUAGAUUUUGUUAUAUAUAUUACGUUGAAAUCUUUGGAUACACUUAAACUGACUGAGUGACUGACUGACUGACUGAAUGCAUUACGUUAUAAGUCAAAUUUUACGUUAGUUUUUACGAUAAUAUUAGUAAAUUACAUUAAGUUUUCGUUAUAUCAAAUCUUUGGGUUGACUGACUGACUGACUGACUGACUGGCUGACUAACUGAAUGCGUUUCGUUAUAAAAGUCAAAUUUUACGUUAGUUUUUACGAUAUUAGUAAGUUACAUUAAGUUUUCGUUAUAACAGAUCUUUGGGUCGACUGACUGACUGACUGACUGAAUGCAUUUUGUUAUAAGAGUCAAAUUUUACGUUAUUUUUUACGAUAUUAGAAAGUUACGUUAAGUUUUCGUUAUAUCGAAUCUUUGGGUUGACUGACUGACUGACUGACUGACUGGAUUUCGUUAUAAGUAAAAAUUUCGUUAGUUUCACGUUAGUAUUAGUAAGUUACGUUAGGAUUUCGCUAUAUCAAAUCUUUGGGUUGACUGACUGACUGACUGACUGACUGACUGACGAAGUUUAGACCGGUUUCUUCCUCCGUUCCUUCCCUUUACGUUCUGUUCCUUGCUUCGUUACGUUCUCCGGUUAAUCUGUUAGUCAAGUUACGUUUAAAUACAAUGAUUAGUAUGUUCGUUAGUUGGUUAAUCCAUUCAUUCCUGCAUUCACUCGCUCUUUGGGACUUAGAGAUCGUCGGGUGUGUGGGGGAGGAGGAGGAGGAGGAGGAGGAGGAGGAGGAAGGUGAAGAAGAGAAUGGAAGAGAAAGGAAGGUAAGGUAAGGUAAGGUAUGGUAAGGUAAGGUAAGGUAAGGUAAGGUUAGGUUAGGUAAGGUAAGGUAAGGUAAGGUAAGGUAAGGUAAGGUUAGGUUAAGUAAGGCAAGGGAGGAUACGGAAGGUUAGAUUAGGUAAGGUAAGGGGUUGGAAGGGAGGGACUUGUAAGGUAAGGUAAGGUAAGGUAAGGUAAGGUAAGGUAAGGUAAGGUAAGGGGUUCAAAGGGAAACUGUUAGGUAAGGUAAGGUAAGGUAAGGUAAGGGGUUCAAAGGGAAACUGUUAGGUAAGGUAAGGUAAGGUAAGGUAAGGGGUUCAAAGGGAGAGCCUUGUAGUAAGGAUAUUGUAAGAUAAGGUAAGGGGUUGGAAAGGAGGGCUUGUAAGGUAGGGAAAUUGUAAGGUAAGGUAAGUUAGGUAAGUUACAUAAGAUCAUAACAAUGUAUAUCUAUGCUCGAGUCUUUCCUACGGCACACUAGACAACUUUGCAGUAUAUAUAUUUAUAGUAACCGAUAUCCAAACACACGCAGAAACACUUUAUAAGCCACAGGUCACGACGCCGCGCAGGGCCGUGUGAGGUCAGGUCAAGAGGUCAGGCUUGGUCAGGUCAACUAGGGGUCAAGGGCGACGUAAUCUGAUAUAUACGUGCGACUGAAAACAAUGGUAAUGAUAAUGGAAAUAAUAAAUGAGGGCUUUCAAUGUGAGGUUACGGGUGAAAGCACAGACCGACCUCUCUCUUUCGAAUGUGGGACAGAGAAUGAUAGAGAGGGAAAGGAGGAGGAGGAGGAGGAGGAAAACAAAAGAAAA